rnacentral:rRNA from 1 species
AAGUCGUAACAAGGUUUCCGUAGGUGAACCUGCGGAAGGAUCAUUAAAAAAUUAUAGAAUUUCAUAUUCUGAAAACCCCUGCAGUGUACUUGUUCUUGUUGCUUCCGUGGGCAGUGGGCUUCGUGCUUGCGACCACCUUCAUAGUGGACCCGCGGGAGGUGAUUAUAAACUCCGGCUUUUAUCUUGUAUCUGUCUGAACAUGCUUAGUUAAUAAACGUUAAAACUUUCAACAACGGAUCUCUUGGUUCUCGCAUCGAUGAAGAACGCAGCGAAAUGCGAUAAGUAGUGUGAAUUGCAGAAUUCAGUGAAUCAUCGAAUUUUUGAACGCAUAUUGCGCCUUUUGGUAUUCCGAAAGGCAUGCCUGUUCGAGCGUCAUACAAUCAUUUCAAGCAUGAGUUGACUCUUGCUUGGUAUUGGUGAAGGAUUGAGCUUGGCUUUUUCCUUGUCCGAAAUGCAAUGGCGAAGUCGUGUGUUCCAUUCAGUGUAGUAAUCAACUUUAUGUUUCACUGUUGGACAUGAGUGCCUUCCGUCGUAAAUUAGCACCCCCAUUCUUGGAGUUUGACCUCGAAUCAGGUAGGGAUACCCGCUGAACUUA